rnacentral:lncRNA from 1 species
AAAAGAAAAACAUCCUGUAAGCCUUUGUGAGUUACUCACUGUUGAAGAUUUUGUCCUCAGUGAAUUAGAUGGCUAAUGGUGAAUCCAUUUCAACAACUGAAGACUCCAUUAGUUGAAAUCCUGGCUACACCUAUGUAAAAAUCAGCAAGUUAUUGAGAUAUGUAGACAGUACAAUUCUCUUCGGUAUGCAAUGAUAUUGACUGAGAUA